rnacentral:rRNA from 1 species
GUAGGUGGCAAGCGUUGUCCGGAAUUAUUGGGCGUAAAGCGCGCGCAGGCGGUUCUUUAAGUCUGAUGUGAAAGCCCACGGGCUCAACCGUGGAGGGUCAUUGGAAACUGGAGAACUUGAGUACAGAAGAGGAAAGCGGAAUUCCACGUGUAGCGGUGAAAUGCGUAGAGAUGUGGAGGAACACCAGUGGCGAAGGCGGCUCUCUGGUCUGUAACUGACGCUGAGGCGCGAAAGCGUGGGGAGCAAACAGGAUUAGAUACCCUGGUAGUCCACGCCGUAAACGAUGAGUGCUAAGUGUUAGGGGGUUUCCGCCCCUUAGUGCUGCAGCUAACGCAUUAAGCACUCCGCCUGGGGAGUACGGCCGCAAAGGCUG